GGGGCUGUAGCUCAGCUGGAAGAGCGUCGCCAUGGCAUGGCGAAGGUCAGGGGUUCGAGCCCCCUCAGCUCCA
rnacentral:tRNA from 1 species